rnacentral:tRNA from 1 species
CAAGACGUAGCCUUAACCCAAAGCACUCAGCUUACACCUGAGAGAUGUCUGAUAGCACCAGAUCGUCUUGA